GGAGAACAGGUCAAUAAAUGAAAUUGUGUGCUCACACCAUUCCCACAAUAAAUGAGAAAUCGCCUGUACAGAGCUGUCCAUCUCCAACGACGACUCUAUUUAUACAUGCGGAAGGUUAGGCUUGCACAGAGAGGCGACAGUUUGCACUUUGCAGAGGGACUAGUGGAUGUCGAGAAGAACGUCGAGGCUCCCUCCCAGUAUUUCGUUUCUCCGGCCCAGAUUUAGGAUGAAGGCGGAGGUCCUGAAUUCCUCUUCUCCGAGAUGCACUUACUGCGCACAAAUGGCUUCUAGCGGGGUGGUUUGUUGAGAUUAGAUCUGGGGGUGAGAACGUGGACAAGAAUCAUACAAAUGGCUUUCAAAGAGGUGGUUUGCUGAGAUUAGAGCUAGGGGCGAGAACAUGGACAA